rnacentral:tRNA from 1 species
GGGCGAGUGGUGAAACUGGCAGACACGCAAGACUUAGGAUCUUGUGGGGAAACCCUUGCGGGUUCGAGUCCCGCCUCGCCCACCA